rnacentral:lncRNA from 1 species
GUGAUAAUGACCAUUGUUCCCAUUGUAUAACAGCUCGCAGAAUAAUGGCUGGUUAUCGGCUGCAAUCCAAAUUCCCGUGACUAACCUGGCUGUUAGUUUUGAGAGGAGAAGAAACCAAGCUUUGGGGGAUUUUAUGUGGGACCCACACGUAAUCCAUGUGAUGGUGCUCUUUCUUGUUUUGAAGUGAUGAGGAGCCUUCACGUCUCCUGCAUGCUGUUCUCACCCAAAGCCCAAAGGAUUCUUCGUGCCGGCUCCCGAGUUUCUUAAUUCCUAUCGGUGCUGCAUGCCAUCGUAAUAAAUAACAUCUCCAACCGUGUUCUUUUCUCUGAAUUUCUCCAUAUUAAUCACUCAACUGCAUCCGAUAAUCCUCAAUUCAU